GACGAACCGUGCGAACGUUGUUCGGAUUCACUGGGCUUAAAGGGCGCGUAGGCGGCUUGCCAAGGCAGGGGUGAAAUCUUUCGGCUCAACCGGAAAAGUGCUUCUGAUACUGGCGGGCUGGAGGAGGGUAGGGGCAGAUGGAACUUCCGGUGGAGCGGUGAAAUGCGUAGAGAUCGGAAAGAACACCAACGGCGAAAGCACUCUGCUGGGCCGACACUGACACUGAGAGACGAAAGCUAGGGGAGCGAAUGGG
rnacentral:rRNA from 1 species